rnacentral:lncRNA from 1 species
GAGCGGAGCGGUGGGCCGGGGGCUGGAGGACAGGUUUGUGCGCUGGACGCAAGCACCAGGCGCAGCCUCGCUCGCCGAGACCCGGCCAGGUAAGGCCGGUGGCCGCGCGACGUGUUACGAGUCAGUUUUUAGUGAAAAAACAUUGAGCUAGGAGCCAAGACCCAUCUCUUCACUAUUUUGGUAUUGUGCAAGUCAUCUUACCUCUCUGGAUCUCAGUUGUCUCAUCUGUAAAAAGGAGAUAAAAAUUAUUUACCUGCCUGAACUGAGGUGGAGGACCAUCCUGCUACAGUAUUGCUUUCUCUUGAUUACAUGUUUACUUACUGCUCUUGAAGCUGUGCCUAUUGACAUAGACAAGACAAAAGUACAAAAUAUUCACCCUGUGGAAAGUGCGAAGAUAGAACCACCAAUACUGGACUUUAUUAUGAUGAAUAUCUCAAGCAAGUGAUUGAUGUGCUGGAAACAGAUAAA